GUACACUCCUACGGGAGGCAGCAGUGGGGAAUAUUGCACAAUGGGCGCAAGCCUGAUGCAGCCAUGCCGCGUGUAUGAAGCAGGCCUUCGGGUUGUAAAGUACUUUCAGCGGGGAGGAAGGCAAUACGGUUAAUAACCGUGUUGAUUGACGUUACCCGCAGAAGAAGCACCGGCUAACUCCGUUCCAGCAGCCGCGGUAAUACGGAGGGUGCAAGCGUUAAUCGGAAUUACUGGGCGUAAAGCGCACGCAGGCGGUCUGUCAAGUCGGAUGUGAAAUCCCCGGGCUCAACCUGGGAACUGCAUUCGAAACUGGCAGGCUUGAGUCUUGUAGAGGGGGGUAGAAUUCCAGGUGUAGCGGUGAAAUGCGUAGAGAUCUGGAGGAAUACCGGUGGCGAAGGCGGCCCCCUGGACAAAGACUGACGCUCAGGUGCGAAAGCGUGGGGAGCAAACAGGAUUAGAUACCCCGGUAGUCCCAUGA
rnacentral:rRNA from 1 species